UCCGGGUCCUCAGCUCCAGGGCGAGGCAGCUCGGCUAUCUUUCUCUAGAAAGAGAGAGACAGAGACAGAAAAAAAAAGUUUGACAGUGACUCGAUUGUAUUUGGGGACCAGAUACACAGCCAGGCUUGAGAAACACCGCCUACUUUGCAGAGUGAGGUAGCUGCGGUCUUCCUGAUGCAUUUCUGUGCACACGCGUUCGAACACACGUCGUCGUCAGCUUACACACGCGCGCGCGCGCGCACACGCACACACACAGACACACACAGACACACACAGAGGCCAAGGGAGAUGCAGAUUUUCUGACUCCGCGUGCACUCAUCUGAAGGAGGUGCGGAGUGUGUGUGUGUGUGUGUGUGUGUACGCGUUUUCGCACAGUGCGUUGUUUAUUUCAGUGAGUGCCUGUGAAAUCCAGCGUUGGAGAGCGGAGUAGUGUGCAAGCUAGCUAGGGAGAAAACACGCCGGGAGCAACAGUAAUCAAUAUGUAACUUUCCUCAUCCUCAGAGAAAUCCCCGCUGUCCCCAGGCACCCAUGCAAGGAAAGUCACUUGAUUAUGAAAGUGUUUCAGAAGAAAAGCAGACGCCGGUGGAGAGAGAGGCAGUGGCUCCUCGGAGGAAAAAAAAAAACCUCUCUUAAGAUGUUUUGCAGCUUCAUGAAACUGCAAUCUGCUGAACGGUAUUAGGGUUCUACCCUUCAGCCAUCUCCUACCACAGCCCACACUGAAUGCACUCCAACGCCCCUUGACACCCAAUAGCUGUUGUCUCGCUCACCUCUGUUCAUCUUACUAAACUUCCAAAUAGCAAUCUGAUGUUUUUUUUUUCUAAAUAGUCAUUGAUGAUAUUUAUAAAAUAUUUUGUGUAUAAAAGCUGAACUGUUAGUCAAGAAUUUACAUCAGUAGGAGAUCAAUGAUUCAAAGAUGCCUGUUUUAUACACACACACACACACACACACACACACACACACACACACACUACCCUGGCUCUAAAUUCCUCAUCUUCUACGACUGAACGGUCUCAAAACUUGCUUUUGCCUAAACUCCUAUCACAAACGUCCACAAGUCAAGACCGGUUUGCGUGUGAUCUAGCAGUCUCGAAAAAGGAAAGUGAUGCAUUGAAGUAGAGAAGAUGGUACUCUGCAGUGCUGCUUUGGGUGGUUCCUGCUCUCAGGCCAAGGACCAAGAUGAGAUGCAGUUGACUGCAUUUGUUCAAGUUCCAACUGACUAAUCAACACAAGAAAAGGUCCUGUUAUCUCCAGGGGAGUGACAGGCAUUGAAAGAUACGUCUUAGAAAAUGUUGACUCAUCCGUCAUAAAGUACUGCAGUGAAGUGGCUCUCCAUGAACAGUAACCUACAAAGAUAUGUGUACACUUUGUAUACUUGAAGUUAAUCUAUAUGACUUCCAGUCACUUCCAGUCUAAGGGGUUGAGGCAGAAAUAUUACUGCUGUGUUUGAAUGUGAAAUGCCCCCCUAUAUGCCUAUGGGUUUGCAUGGUUGGCCACCAGCUACUGGCACUGUCUGUACAGCUAGUGGAAGCUUUAGGAGGUGGAGUCUUAAUGAGGAAAUGGAUCACUAUGGUGGCCUUCAAAGUUUUACAGAUUGUCCUCACUUUCUCUUUAUGCUUGCUUCUUGACUAUGCAGUAGUGUGACCAGCAGUCUCCAUUUCCUGUUGACAUGCGCUUCCACUUUAGACUGGUUCUUCUCUAGUUCUCAUCUAAAUUCAUUCCUUCUUCUCUUAAGAUGUUCCUUGUCGGACAUUUUGUCACAACACUGCAAACAGUACCAUAUAAGACUUUCAAAAGUCUUUGCCCUAGGAUCUGUGUGGAUGAUAUGUAUAUUAAUUGGACCAAAUUAUGAUAUUUGUAUUAUUUUUCUAAAUCUCUCUGUUACCUGAUUGUCAUAAAAAGACUAAAUGUUGUUUAAAAUAAAAUUAUGAACAAAAUUUUAUGAUGCAAAUUUAUAAAUUGUGAAAACGAGUUGUGAAAUUUCAAAUUAUUCUAACUUUAAUAUUAAAUAUUAACUACUUAUGGUUGAGAGCAAGAAAAGAGCCAUGAUGGAAAAACAGCAUACAAGAUAUUUUUCUCUUUGCUAUUGGCAAAAUAUGUUCAUUAAGUUUACAAAUGAAUAUAAAAUCUUCAAUGAAAUUUCCUUUCCUCAUGUAAACAGUUACUUUCACAAGAAAUAUUUAUAAUAACUUACAUUUGAACCUCAUUAAAGUUUGAUCUCAACCUUUCUGUCACUGAUAUUUCAGAGUUAGUGAUUCAAGUGAAAGCCAAUUUAAAACUCUAACACUCUUCAGGAAGUGAUUAAUGGGCAAAGAGCAUGUUUAGCUAUAGCAGGUCAAACUUGUGCUCUUUACCCAUGGCACUUAAGAAUGCCUUUAAUAUACUAACAUGCAAAUGUCAGGUACAGGGGAUUACCAAAACUUAUCUUUGUCCAAAUAUUUGGUACCAUAAGCAGUAUAGCUCAGGGUUUGAACACUUUGGGGAUCCAUGUAGUACCCCUGCUUACUUUUGUCAUGAUUCUACUGAUGAUAUGAAUAAAAGUAGAAGAGAUGUUGGAGCGAGGGCUCACUAGAUGAAGUACUUGUUGUACGAGUGUGAGGACUUGAAUUCAGAUUCCCAGCAUCCACUUGAAAAGUAAGUAUGGUGGUGUGCAUCUGAAGGCUCCACCUGGGGCAGGGGUGUGAAGACAGGUAGAUCCCAGAGGUUCACUAGUCAGUCUGUCCAAUCAUGGACCUCCAUUUUAGUGAGAGACAUUUCCAAAAAAAGGAGUGCAAUAACAAUAGACACACAAAGGAUAGAGGAAGACACACAAAGUCAAUCACUGUCACACAGCACACAUAAACAAUACAUACACACAUACACAAUUCUAACAGUAAGUUGGAAGUCUCUCAUCUUAACUAUCUGUUAGUGUCCUCUCUAAGGUAAUGGUGAUGGUGUUGUAGAGAAAAAGAAGCUGUGGAUAAAUUCUGCCUUUCAUUCAAUUUAUCCAGCAGACACUGCUGGAAGUUUGUAUAUUAUGUGUUAUAUUUUUCAUCAUUACCUUUCUACAUCUUAUUGGCUAUUUUAGAAUUUGUGAAUAAACAGGAACAUAUCUGUGUCACAUUAAUUUCCAGCAUGGAAGUUUGACUUGAACAUUAGGUACUUAUAUUGCUUUACUAAUGUAUACCUUGCAUUUAGGGUUAUUACCAUAAGUGUAAAUUAAAUUAAAUUAGAGGAGUGUUGUCAUAGUGUUUCAAAAGAAGCAUGUGCACCUAAUUCAUCAAGAUCUGCCUUUGCUUCUCUAGGGGUGAAUGUGAUGAAGAAUCAAAGGGAAAACAAUACCUGAUCAGAUGAUGCAUACUCUAGUGUCUGUGCCUGCCUGGUAUUCCUUUUGUUGUUAUUGUUUCUUUUUUUUUUUUUGCUAAAUUAAUCAAGGAUUUAUUUUUAAAAUAUCUAUAUCAUUUAUAGAAUCAAAAGUCCAUAGUUCCAUAGUAAUUUCAAGUUUCAAAAUUGAUUAAAUAUUUUUAAUUCAUUUAUUUACUAUCUAUCCCAGCCAGAGUUUCCCUUCCCUCCUCUCCUCCCAGUCUCUCCCUCCCCC